GAAUCCGGAGCCGUUCCAGCUCUCGAGGCGUAUCCUCCCACGAUCUCCUAAGCGUCGUUCUCCUUAAUUGCAUUCUUUAUGCAGGACACUCCGGGCGGCGUGUAUCCCACGGCACACGUAUCUCCGCACGCGCCCAGGUCGCAUCCGCCUCGAAGAGCGCGCGUAUCGCGGCCGCUUAACUGACACUCCUUGCAAGCAGCAACUGGCGAUCCGAUUUCCCAGGUAACGCCUCAAUUAGCAUUUAAUACCCUUCUGGUGUUCCCCAGGCGACGCUUGGAGAA
rnacentral:lncRNA from 1 species